GAUGAAGAACGUAGCGAAAUGCGAUACGUAAUGUGAAUUGCAGAAUUCAGAGAAUCAUCGAAUCUUUGAACGCAUAUUGCGCUCUCUGGUAUUCCGGAGAGCAUGCUUGUUUGAGUAUCAGUAAACACCUCAACUUCCAUAUCUUUUUUGAAAUGGGAGUUGGACUUGAGUGAUCCCAACGCUUUUCCUCACCGAAAAGUGGCGGGUUACUUGAAAUGCAGGUGCAGCUGGACUUUUCUCUGAGCUAUAAGCAUAUCUAUUUAGUCUGCCUAAAAAACAGAUUAUUACCUUUGCUGCAGCUAACAUAAAGGAGAUUAGUUCUUGUGCUGACUGAUGCAGGAUUCACAAAGACAGGCUUCGGCCGACUUUGUAAACUCGAUCUCAAAUCAAGUAAGACUACCCGCUGAACUUAAGCAUAUCAAUAAGCGGAGGA
rnacentral:misc_RNA from 1 species